UAAAAAAAAUCUUAAACUUAAAGAAAAAUCUUUUUUACUAAAUAUUUAUCAUUGACGCCGCCGACGCUCUGCCAUCCUCUCUAUUGCGCCGUCGCACGUCUCGCCUCCGUGUCAUCUCCGUACUGACUCAAUCCUAUUUUCAAUUUUAUUCCCAACUGCAUUCGCAACCUCUUCUAAACCCUAUUUCUUACUUCUUCUCUCCACAACAAAAUAAAGGUGUGUGUGUCUUGGCUAAUUUUGAAGCAUAGCAUAUAAAAGAAAGAUUAGAUAGGAUACAUGGCUGACCAAGGAAUGGAAGAAACCCAUUCUGUGGAUGUAAACAAGGCUUCUGAUAUGGUGCCCACCAUUUUAAAUGUUAUGUCAACUGUCAAUUUGGACUGUCAGUUGGACCUUAAGUCCAUUAAGCUUCAAGCUCCUAAUGCAGAGUACAAUCCACAGCGUCUUCCUGCUGUGCGUAUGUCCAUCAGGGCACCAAAAUCAAGUGCAUUAAUCUCUUCAAAUGGAAUGAUGGUCUGCACUGGAGCUAAGAGUGAGAGCCAGGCAAAAUUGGCAGCAAGUAAGUAUGCAGUCAUAAUCCGGAAGAUGGGCUUCCCAGUUAAAUUUAAGGAUUUUAAGAUUUGGGAAAUUGUUGGCUCUUGUGAUGUCAAGUUCCCCAUACGACUUGAAGAUCUUGCUAAGUCCCAUGGUGCUUGCUCUACUUAUAAACCAGAGUCGUCUCCAGCACUAAUUUAUCAAAUGAUGCAACCAAAGAUAGUCUUAUAUAUAUACGACUCUGGAAAAAUUCAUCUGAAAGGAUCCAAGACGAGAGCUGAGAUUUACACAGCCUUUCGGAACAUAUAUCCAGUGCUUACCGAGUUCAAGAAAACCCAACAAUGAUUUUGUUCUGGGUUGUAUAUUUUCGCAAGAUUAGUGCUUAGUGCUGGUGUCAAAUGUGAUGUAUCUGCCAAAGUAAAGUGAAAUGCAUGUUUCAUAUCAUCGUCAGAGUAAGAGCAAGGUUUUCUGGCUGAGAAGGCUGUCUGUCGUGUGGGUUGAUGGAGCUGUAAAUUGAGACUGUAGAUAUUUGGAAUGAUGAGAUGAACUAAGCCCUUUUUGUUCUACGCCCCUUUUCUUGUUUUGUUUUUCUCAACAAAUUAGACAUGCUAACUGUUACUAAAACUAUCACUUACAAUUUUUUGUAUGAUCAAUUAAGAUUUAGCCUAUGUAGAUAAAUAAUUUAUUAAAUAUUUAAUCUCUUGUAUUUCAAGUAUUGUAGCUUAUUAUAUCGGUUUGUAAUUUUUC